ACUUAAAUUGAAGAGUUUGAUCAUGGCUCAGAUUGAACGCUGGCGGCAGGCCUAACACAUGCAAGUCGAGCGGUAGCACAGAGAGCUUGCUCUCGGGUGACGAGCGGCGGACGGGUGAGUAAUGUCUGGGAAACUGCCUGAUGGAGGGGGAUAACUACUGGAAACGGUAGCUAAUACCGCAUAACGUCGCAAGACCAAAGUGGGGGACCUUC
rnacentral:rRNA from 2 species